rnacentral:rRNA from 1 species
GACGAACGCUGGCGGCGUGCUUAACACAUGCAAGUCGAACGAAAAUACCAAGCUUGCUUGGUUGAUUAGUGGCGAACGGGUGAGUAACACGUGAGUAACCUGCCCCUUACUUUCCUGGAUAACUGCUCGAAAGGGUAGCUAAUACGGGAUAUUCUGGCCUUCCUGCAUGGGUUGGUUUGGAAAGGUUGUUUUCUGGUAAGGGAUGGGCUCGCGGCCUAUCAGCUUGUUGGUGGGGUGAUGGCCUACCAAGGCUUUGACGGGUAGCCGGCCUGAGAGGGUGGACGGUCACACUGGGACUGAGAUACGGCCCAGACUCCUACGGGAGGCAGCAGUGGGGAAUAUUGCACAAUGGGCGCAAGCCUGAUGCAGCGACGCCGCGUGAGGGAUGAAGGCCUUCGGGUUGUAAACCUCUUUCGUCAGGGAACAAGGCACUACGUUUUGGUGGUGUUGAGGGUACCUGGAUAAGAAGCGCCGGCUAACUACGUGCCAGCAGCCGCGGUAAUACGUAGGGCGCAAGCGUUGUCCGGAAUUAUUGGGCGUAAAGAGCUCGUAGGCGGCUGGUCGCGUCUGUCGUGAAAACUUCCGGCUCAACCGGGGGCUUGCGGUGGGUACGGGCCGGCUAGAGUGCGGUAGGGGUAACUGGAACUCCUGGUGUAGCGGUGGAAUGCGCAGAUAUCAGGAAGAACACCGAUGGCGAAGGCAGGUUUCUGGGCCGUUACUGACGCUGAGGAGCGAAAGCGUGGGGAGCGAACAGG